CAGCAGCCGCGGUAAUUCAGAGGUCCCAAGCGUUGUUCGGAUUCACUGGGCGUAAAGGGUGCGUAGGUGGUCGGGUAAGUCUGGUGUGAAAUCUCCGAGCUCAACUCGGAAAUGGCAUUGGAUACUAUUCGGCUGGAGGGUUGGAGGGGGGACUGGAAUUCUUGGUGUAGCAGUGAAAUGCGUAGAUAUCAAGAGGAACACCAGUGGCGAAGGCGAGUCCCUGACAACUCCUGACACUGAGGCACGAAAGCUAGGGGAGCAAACAGGAUUAGAUACCCUGGUAGUCCUAGCCGUAAACGGUGCAUAUUUGCUGUAAAAGGAAUCGACCCCUUUUGUGGCGAAGCUAACGCGAUAAAUAUGCCGCCUGGGAAGUACGGUCGCAAGAUUAAAACUUAAAGGAAUUGACGG
rnacentral:rRNA from 1 species